rnacentral:ncRNA from 2 species
CUAAUGGUGUUGACCUACGGUGCCCACAUGGGCUUAAAAGGGAAGUCCGGAGCAAAACCGGCGCGGUCCCGCCACUGUAAACAAAGAUGAGCCGCUAGCAGUACCACUCGGGAAAGACCGGGGAAGGAUAGCGGCAGACACUCAGAUGUCGUCUUUGAGCCAGGAGACCUGCCAGGGUUCGAACUGCAAC